rnacentral:rRNA from 1 species
GUGAAGUCGGAAUCGCUAGUAAUCGUGAAUCAGAAUGUCACGGUGAAUACGUUCCCGGGCCUUGUACACACCGCCCGUCACACCAUGGGAGUGGACUGCACCAGAAGUGGUUAGCCUAACGCAAGAGGGCGAUCACCACGGUGUGGUUCAUGACUGGGGUGAAGUCGUAACAAGGUAGCCGUAGGGGAACCUGCGGCUGGAUCACCUCCUUA